UGAGUUUGAUUCUGGCUCAGAACGAACGCUGGCGGCAGGCCUAACACAUGCAAGUCGAGCGCGCCUUCGGGCGAGCGGCGGACGGGUUAGUAACGCGUGGGAACGUGCCCAGAUCUACGGAAUAGCCACUGGAAACGGUGAGUAAUACCGUAUACGCCCUUCGGGGGAAAGAUUUAUCGGAUUUGGAUCGGCCCGCGUUAGAUUAGGUAGUUGGUGGGGUAACGGCCUACCAAGCCUACGAUCUAUAGCUGGUUUUAGAGGAUGAUCAGCAACACUGGGACUGAGACACGGCCCAGACUCCUACGGGAGGCAGCAGUGGGGAAUCUUGGACAAUGGGGGCAACCCUGAUCCAGCCAUGCCGCGUGAGUGAAGAAGGCCCUAGGGUCGUAAAACUCUUUCGCCUGUGAUGAUAAUGACAGUAGCAGGUAAAGAAACCCCGGCUAACUCCGUGCCAGCAGCCGCGGUAAUACGGAGGGGGUUAGCGUUGUUCGGAAUUACUGGGCGUAAAGCGCACGUAGGCGGAUUAGAAAGUUAGAGGUGAAAUCCCGGGGCUCAACCCCGGAACUGCCUUUAAAACUACUAGUCUAGAGUUCGAG
rnacentral:rRNA from 1 species